GCACGGAUGACUGAGUGGUUUAAGGUGUCUGACUUGAAAUCAGAAGUAGCUCUAAUAAAACUACCGUGAGUUCGAAUCUCACUCCGCUCU
rnacentral:tRNA from 1 species